AUAUAACUACAUAUACACAUGGUAUGUGAUGAGAUGAGGUUCCUAUGUCCGAAAUGUACAACAAUGCAUGUUGAGUAGCAUAGGAGAACAAGUCAAAAACAACGAUUAGGGCACGAAACUACCACGCAAACAAGACGAAUCAACCAGACACUUUGAAGCAGAGAAAAUCAAUGGAUAUCCGCUCAGCAACACCAUUGUUGUGGUUGUCUCUCUCAUGACUACUCCUACUCCACACUAAGGACUAAUAGGCCCAAGACGGUUUCUUUGUAGUCAAUAGUAGGGGAAUUGUACUGAGAUGUCUAGAGCUGAUCUUAUUCAGAAAAGCUCUUACUUUAGAGUUUCAGAAACGAGAGGGCGUGACAUUAAUCUUGGUGAAUUGUCAGCAUAUGGCAAUGUUUGCAAAGGACAAGAUUCUGGAGGAUGUAGCAUGCAAUGAUUAGGUAUCAUCGUCGUAUGUUCCUAUUAUGUUCUGUUAUAAUUCUAGAUCGAAAACUGUAUUUGGUUUUGUUCUACUUUCCAGCCAUUCACAGUUUAAACUAGGGGUGAGUAGAAAACCAAAAUAACCGAAAAAACCAAACCGAAACAAAAACCGACGGUUCGGUUUUCGGAUAACCAUUUUCAAUAACCGAAAAAACCGAACCAAUAAGUCUCAAUAGUAGGCCUAGUCUAUAUAGUAUAUAUUCUUAUGUUUAAGUUUAAGUUGUUUAAGUGUUUAAUCCAUGCUAGGAGGAAUUAUUAAUUUUUAUUCUUGAAUGUUAAGUAUUUAUAAUAAAAACAUUAACAUGUUUGUUUAUAAUUAUAAUUGAAAUGAUUUAUCUAUUGCCUACCAGAAAUAACAAAAUUUAAUAUAAAAGUUAAAUGAUCUUCUAAGUAUUAUAAAAGAAAAUGUCUUAAUAAAAACUUUAAAUAAACAUAAAAAUAGAUUAGAAGGCUAGAUUUAUGUGAACACAAUUAAUUAAAAAGGUUGAAUAUAAUAACUUAAAUCUAAACAUCUAAGAAAGAUUCUUAAAUUUUGGAUUAUACUAUUGAUUUUUAAAUCUUACGUAUUUUUGUUCCAAAAACCGAAAAACUGAACCGAAUCGUUGCUAAAACCGAAAAAACCGAACCCGAACGGUUUUUAAAAACCAAAAACCGAACAUUUCGGUUACGGUUUUACCAUAAAACCGAACCGUGCACACCCUAGUUUAAAUAUAUGUGCUAUCUUUAGGGUUGAGUAAACUGUGGUAACUUUGGAAUAAUGUAACUCAUUUUUCCUGCAAAAACACUUAUCCAAUAUGUCCACUACUACUUCCCUUUACAACUUUACCUUUUCUUUAUAAACACAUUCACUUUAAUGGACUACCUAAGAGAAGCACUAACCAUUAGAAAUCAAUCACACAAGUGGGACUUUGACUUUUCUGUUAUAGUGAUUGACCAUUGACCUUUUUGCACUUGUGUUAAUCUGUGUCCACAUAGGUUUGCAAAAUUCCCAAGAAAAUAUUAAUAAAAGAUGCCAUUUUUUCUCAUAUUUACUGCUUGAUUCCCUCUCCAGAAGCAGCCAUGAGCUUGCUUUUCCGAUCGACGAUAUCCACAUGAUCAAUAAACGUAAUCGGAUAUUAUGAUUAUUAUCCGAGCUUGUGAGAUAAUGUUACAAUUGAGUGGCCUAUAUCUACGCAUUUAGUUCUCAACUUGACGAAAAUUCCAAAGUGUAGUAUACUUAACUUUCCUAUAAUUCGACAACAACGGACCCAAUUAUAUGUGAGCUGUUGAUUCGGUUAUAUGGAUCAUUUAAAACCGUCACAUUAAAUCUGGACCAUUGUAGUUCCACCACUACUUUAUAUAAAGCAAGAAAGCAAAAAGGUAACAAUGCCCAUUACAAAAGAUAUAGAUAUAUAUAUAUAUAUAUGGCAUUUUGGGUCCACAUAACAACUCAUACUACACAGAUAAUGUGGCCACAAUUUGUUCAGGACCUGAAAAUAUCUUCAUCCUUUUCAUGGCUGCUUCUCUUGAUUUUGAUGUGCCCACAAAGAAUAACCAAGAUUUACGCCUCUUGAGUCGAUAUAAAGAUAUCGUGAUAGAUACCCUAAAUUAAUGGUCCCAUGACAGCCUUCGUGGUUAACGUUAAUGGUAGCUACGACAACUGUUAUUGCAGGAAAGUAAUUGCAGAAAGUUUACAAAAAUCUGGACAUC